rnacentral:rRNA from 1 species
CAGUCGCCACGGUAAAACGUAGGUGGCAAGCGUUGUCCGGAAUUAUUGGGCGUAAAGGGCUCGCAGGCGGUUUCUUAAGUCUGAUGUGAAAGCCCCCGGCUCAACCGGGGAGGGUCAUUGGAAACUGGGAAACUUGAGUGCAGAAGAGGAGAGUGGAAUUCCACGUGUAGCGGUGAAAUGCGUAGAGAUGUGGAGGAACACCAGUGGCGAAGGCGACUCCCUGGUCUGUAACUGACGCUGAGGAGCGAAAGCGUGGGGAGCGAACAGGAUUAGAGACCCCCGUAGUCCCUGUCUCUUAUAC